CCGUUUCUCCAGACAGCAGGACUCUCGUCUGACCGCUUCUAUCACUCUCCUGCUGGCGUCAAGGCUUUCGCUUAAGGGGAGAAAACAGAGCCAAGUCCAGACAAAAAGAGGCAACUUUGAGACUCUGCCAUCAGCCUCUGCACUGUCUGCUGGCUUUACACUCCAGCUCACAAGAUUUGACAUUCUCCGCCAAAACAGCAAC